CGUUUUUUGUGUUAUAUAAAAAAUAUCACCUGCCCAAUGAAAUUUAAAUGGCCGCGGUAUUUUGACCGUGCGAAGGUAGCAUAAUCAUUAGUCUAUUAAUUGUAGACUGGUAUGAAUGGUUGGAUAGGGAAAGACUGUUUCUUUAGUAAAAUUGAAUUUUAGGUUUUUGUGAAGACGCUAAAAUUAAUAUAUUAGACGAGAAGACCCUAUUAAGCUUAACCCCUUAAAUUUUUUUACGGGUUUAAAAUGUAGGGGGGUUUUAUUGGGGCGAUAUUAAGAAAUUAACUCUUAUUUUAAAAAGAUAUUAAUAAGUAGGAUGGAGAUAAUGAUCCAUAUAUAAUGAUUAUCAGAACAAGUUACUGUAGGGAUAACAGCGUAAUCUUAUUGGAGAGUUCUUAUUGAUAAUAAGGAUUGCGACCUCGAUGUUGAAUUAGGAUACCUAUAAGGUGCAGCCGUUUUAAAGGGUAGUCUGUUCGACUAUUAAAAUCCUACA
rnacentral:rRNA from 1 species